GAUUGAUUUUUCGCAACAUGCGAGGAGACUCUUAAUCAGCGGGUCGUAGGUUCGAGCCCUACAUCACCCACCA
rnacentral:tRNA from 1 species